CGUAGGGUGCGAGCGUUAAUCGGAAUUACUGGGCGUAAAGCGUGCGCAGGCGGUUUUGUAAGUCGGAUGUGAAAUCCCCGGGCUCAACCUGGGAACUGCGUUCGAAACUGCAAGGCUAGAGUGUGUCAGAGGGGGUAGAAUUCCACGUGUAGCAGUGAAAUGCGUAGAGAUGUGGAGGAAUACCAAUGGCGAAGGCAGCCCCCUGGGAUAACACUGACGCUCAUGCACGAAAGCGUGGGAGCAAACAGGAUU
rnacentral:rRNA from 1 species